rnacentral:lncRNA from 1 species
CUAAAUUAGAGAAAUAGCACAAACAAUAGCAAUAUUCGAUGUAAACCAUAUCCUAAUUUUUUCUACCUUAAACCCUACAUCUAAUAUUACUAACAGCGAAACUCUAAAAGUGGAAAAUUUGCCGGUUCUCAAAAUAUACUAUACCGAAGGAAACAAACUCCGGCCAUCUUAUCGCCACUUUCUGGCGGUGGAUGGAAAAAUGGCUAAGAAACAAGUGAGAGGUUAGAAGAUG